GAGAUCAGUUCUGUUGUUUUGCUCCUGUUGGUAGGUGAGGAAACUGAGGGAGAGAGAGGCAGACUGUGCGCGGUAGCAGAGUUUCUCCAGUGUCAUGACAGGUCUGGGGGAGGCUCCGCUGUUCUAACAGCGAAGACAGCCGUCCACCGGGCUGCUCCUGAGCACGCUCAGAAGGAAAGACCCAGACUGUGCGGCGUCACGGCACAGAAGCCCCAGGUACACGUGGGCAAGGAGAUUUACAGUGCGGAGCAGCGCAGAGAAGGCGACAGAGACCACGCAGAGCUCCUCACUGGCUCGGCUCUUCCAGCCACCUUCAGCCCAUCCUCCGAACCCUUGUGCAAAGGCUCUCCGCUGCCAGGAGGGUGGCACCUGUAUGUUUGGCCACUUCUCUUUGGGCUGAGGAGAGGACAGAAUUUUUGGCUGUAUGCCCAGCAGGAGGAAGUUUAGAGAAGUCGCUUAUCUCUAGAAGAAAAGGCUAACUUUUAAAAUUCCAUUUGGCAGUCCCAGCUACACAAGGUCACACAGCCAGCCCACGCAUGUGCCAAACGGAUGUUUGUCUGGUGGCCCCUGGAGGAAAAAAAUUAUUUUUCUACCAAAACAGUCACAGAAGCACAGAGCAGAAUGCCACAUUCGUACCAGGUGUGGUGGCCCAUGCCUGCAACCUCAGCAUUUGGGAGGCUGAGACAGGAGGAUUGCCAUGAAUUCGAGACCAGCCUGGAACGCAUAGUAAGUGCACAGCCAGCCUUAACUACAUAGCAAGACCCUGUCUCAAAAAAAGACAGACGGGCCGGGGAUUUAGCUCAGUGGUGCUGCUCCCUGCCUCACAAGCACAAGGUCUCGAGUUUGAUCCCUAGUACUAAAAAAACAAAACAAAACAAAACAAAACAGAGAGAGAGAGGGAAUUCAGUAGCUCAAUAGCUUUUGUUUGUCUGUCUGUUUAGACAUGGUCUCACUUUUGUUUUGCUUUCAUCCUUUCCUCUCCGUGUCUGGCCCGUGUGCUCUACAGAGCCAGAUCUUCCCUCAUCCCUUCACCCCUUGAUUUUGAAAUAAACUUUGGCAGCCCUUUCGGACUGUCUCAUUCAAUUCUUUGUUUGAGGCAAAACAAACCCCUGUCAUACGUUUACUCGGGAGACAUUUCUACAGGAACUGACUGACAACAUUCCUCAGCCCCUUUCACAACUAGACAGCGCCGGCCUAGAGACCUGCCUGGCUCAUCCCCAGUCACGAAGCAAGCCGAGCCAUGGGCCAGAACAGGGCCGCUUGCUCUCAGCACCAUUGACCUUUAAGUGAGACUAUUUCAAGUGUCCUGUGCUUGUCAGAGGUUUGCAGCCUCUCUGCUCUCUGCCUUCUAGAGACCAUGAUCUCCCACCCCG
rnacentral:lncRNA from 1 species